UGAAAAUGAUAGGAUUUGAACC
rnacentral:tRNA from 1 species